rnacentral:rRNA from 1 species
ACGGGUGAGUAAUGUCUGGGAAACUGCCUGAUGGAGGGGGAUAACUACUGGAAACGGUAGCUAAUACCGCAUAGCGUCGCAAGACCAAAGAGGGGGACCUUCGGGCCUCUUGCCAUCGGAUGUGCCCAGAUGGGAUUAGCUAGUAGGUGGGGUAACGGCUCACCUAGGCGACGAUCCCUAGCUGGUCUGAGAGGAUGACCAGCCACACUGGAACUGAGACACGGUCCAGACUCCUACGGGAGGCAGCAUG